rnacentral:rRNA from 1 species
CAGAAACUUAAAGGAAGUUGACGGGGCCCGCACAAGCGGUGGAGUAUGUGGUUAAUCGAUGCAACGCGAAGAACCUUACCUGGUCUUGACAUCCCGGAGACCCUUAGGAAACUAGGGGGUGCUUCCAUCUGGAAGAAUCUGGAGACAGGUGCUGCAUGGCUGUCGUCAGCUCGUGUCGUGAGAUGUUGGGUUAAGUCCCGCAACGAGCGCAACCCUUGCCUUUAGUUGCCAGCAGUUCGGCUGGGCACUCUAAAGGGACUGCCGGUGUUAAACCGGAGGAAGGUGGGGAUGACGUCAAGUCCUCAUGGCCUUUAUGACCAGGGCUACACACGUACUACAAUGGCCGAUACAAAGGGCAGCGACACUGCGAGGUGAAGCCAAUCCCGUAAAAUCGGUCUCAGUCCGGAUUGGAGUCUGCAACUCGACUCCAUGAAGUUGGAAUCGCUAGUAAUCGUGGAUCAGCAUGCCACGGUGAAUACGUUCCCGGGCCUU